UACGUAGGGGGCUAGCGUUGUCCGGAUUUAUUGGGCGUAAAGAGCGUGUAGGCGGCCAGAUAGGUCUGCUGUGAAAACUCGAGGCUCAACCUCGAGCUGUCGGCGGAAACCAUUUGGCUAGAGUCCGGAAGAGGAGAGUGGAAUUCCUGGUGUAGCGGUGAAAUGCGCAGAUAUCAGGAAGAACACCUAUGGCGAAGGCAGCUCUCUGGGACGGUACUGACGCUGAGACGCGAAAGCGUGGGGAGCAAACAGG
rnacentral:rRNA from 1 species